rnacentral:rRNA from 1 species
AUUGAACGCUGGCGGCAGGCCUAACACAUGCAAGUCGAGCGGAUGAAGGGAGCUUGCUCCUGGAUUCAGCGGCGGACGGGUGAGUAAUGCCUAGGAAUCUGCCUGGUAGUGGGGGAUAACGUCCGGAAACGGGCGCUAAUACCGCAUACGUCCUGAGGGAGAAAGUGGGGGAUCUUCGGACCUCACGCUAUCAGAUGAGCCUAGGUCGGAUUAGCUAGUUGGUGGGGUAAAGGCCUACCAAGGCGACGAUCCGUAACUGGUCUGAGAGGAUGAUCAGUCACACUGGAACUGAGACACGGUCCAGAAUCCUACGGGAGGCAGCAGUGGGGAAUAUUGGACAAUGGGCGAAAGCCUGAUCCAGCCAUGCCGCGUGUGUGAAGAAGGUCUUCGGAUUGUAAAGCACUUUAAGUUGGGAGGAAGGGCAGUAAGUUAAUACCUUGCUGUUUUGACGUUACCAACAGAAUAAGCACCGGCUAAAUUCGUG